rnacentral:rRNA from 1 species
AGCGAACGCUGGCGGCAGGCCUAACACAUGCAAGUCGAACGGACCCUUCGGGGUUAGUGGCGGACGGGUGAGUAACACGUGGGAACGUGCCUUUAGGUUCGGAAUAGCUCCUGGAAACGGGUGGUAAUGCCGAAUGUGCCCUUCGGGGGAAAGAUUUAUCGCCUUUAGAGCGGCCCGCGUCUGAUUAGCUAGUUGGUGAGGUAACGGCUCACCAAGGCGACGAUCAGUAGCUGGUCUGAGAGGAUGACCCGCCACACUGGGACUGAGACACGGCCCAGACUCUUACGGGAGGGAGGAGUGGGGAAUCUUGCGAAAUGGGCGAAAGCCUGACGCAGCCAUGCCGCGUGAAUGAUGAAGGUCUUAGGAUUGUAAAAUUCUUUCACCGGGGACGAUAAUGACGGUACCCGGAGAAGAAGCCCCGGCUAACUUCGUG